rnacentral:rRNA from 1 species
GCAUAUCAAUAAGCGGAGGAAAAGAAACCAACAGGGAUUGCCCCAGUAACGGCGAAKUGAAGCGGCAACAGCUCAAAUUUGAAAUCUGGCUCUCGGGCCCGAAGUUGUAAUUUGUAGAGGAUGCUUUUGGUGAGGUGCCUUCCGAGUUCCCUGGAACGGGACGCCAUAGAGGGUGAGAGCCCCGUCUGGUUGGACGCCGAACCUCUGUAAAGCUCCUUCGACGAGUCGAGUAGUUUGGGAAUGCUGCUCUAAAUGGGAGGUAUAUGUCUUCUAAAGCUAAAUACCGGCCAGAGACCGAUAGCGCACAAGUAGAGUGAUCGAAAGAUGAAAAGAACUUUGAAAAGAGAGUUAAACAGUACGUGAAAUUGUUGAAAGGGAAGCGCUUGUGACCAGACUUGGGCUUGGUUGAUCAUCCGGGGUUCUCCCCGGUGCACUCUUCCGGCCCAGGCCAGCAUCAGUUCGCCCUGGGGGACAAAGGCAUCGGGAACGUGGCUCUCUCCGGGGAGUGUUAUAGCCCGUUGCGUAAUACCCUGUGGCGGACUGAGGUUCGCGCAUUCGCAAGGAUGCUGGCGUAAUGGUCAUCAGUGACCCGUCUUGAAACACGGACCAAGGAGUCGUCUUCGUAUGCGAGUGUUCGGGUGUCAAACCCCUACGCGAAAUGAAAGUGAACGCAGGUGAGAGCUUCGGCGCAUCAUCGACCGAUCCUGAUGUUUUCGGAUGGAUUUGAGUAAGAGCAUACGGGGCCGGACCCGAAAGAAGGUGAACUAUGCCUGUGUAGGGUGAAGCCAGAGGAAACUCUGGUGGAGGCUCGCAGCGGUUCUGACGUGCAAAUCGAUCGUCAAACAUGGGCAUGGGGGCGAAAGACUAAUCGAACCUUCUAGUAGCUGGUUUCCGC